rnacentral:misc_RNA from 1 species
GCGACUAACAACGGUGAUAAGUGUAUCUUUAUUCAAGGCAAUUACAGCUUAUAACCAUUAUGGAAACCCAACAGACCUUAACCCAGGCCACAAGAGGAGCAGGCAAAGACUGCAUAGGAUACAGUUGGGUUGGCUCCUACUACCUGCUUAAAGGUUCACAGAAUGUUUUACCUGUGCAAAUACUUGCAAUUUGUAAAAUAAAAUCGAUGUUAUUCUUUAUAUUUAAAUAUAUAAGAAUACACUCUCUAUUGUACAGUUCAAGCUCAUGCAAACCAAUACGCUAAUGUUUUCCUAAGGCUAUCUGCUCUAAUUCCUUCACUACUUCCUUCAUGCUUGGCCUCAUAAUCAGUUCUGUCGAUAGGCAUUGGACUGCAAGUUUUGCUGCUUUUAAUGCUCCACUCAAUGCAUAUUUUCCUUCAAGGCAGGGAUCAAAAACUUGGAAAAUUUUGCGUUUGCU